CAAAAAGUAGUUUAUAAAGAAUAUUAAUUUUGGAGAUUAAGGGUGUGAUAAUUUAAUUAUCUUUUUGA
rnacentral:tRNA from 1 species